rnacentral:lncRNA from 1 species
CGGAAGUAGGAGCCAUUGCCCCUCGGACGGCUGUAGUCAUUAUCCAGGUUGCUUCCCCUGCCCAAACUCUGACCACCCAGGCGUCCCCUUAGGCCCUCGGAUUGGUAUCCGCCUCUGCCUCUUCCUUGUCCUGGCAUUCAUUCAAAGAAAGUGUCAAAUGCAGAAGUAACGAUGAUUUAUAAGCAAAAUCUUAUCUUCAUGUUCUCCAAAAAGAUACUCGUCAAACAUAAUCAAGAUUUUAGCUGUUCCAAAUUUACAAGCACUUGCAGAGAAAUGUCACUCAAACCCCAAACAUCACUUUAACAGUUUAAUUGUGACAUCACCAAUAUCUCUAUUUCUAUCUCCAAAUGAACAGGAACUUAUAUUGCGAACCAAUUUUAUUGCACAUACCCACUCACCUGUAAACUAUAGUUACCCCAUAAAAUCUAUACUCUCACUCUGAAACACACAAACCCUACAAAUAGUCUGAGAGACCAAGCCUGCACACAGAUGGUGAAGAUGCUGCAAAAGACUCAUCUCUAAGCAAAACCUCUAGGAUAACAUAAAAAUCAUGAACAUUAAAAAGCCGAAUACACCAAGCAAUGCAGACACUUUCAUAACAAGACCAGGGAAUCAAGUAAUAUUUUUUCUAUUUCACGUAGGUCCUUUUGAAAAAAUACAUGCGCACAAUUUCAAGAACACUGUUCUUAUUGUAAAGAUCACAAGAACAAACAGACGAAACAACAUGAAUGAAUCACUUUGGCCCUAGCUACCAUCCGCCUAGCAACAGUCACGAGUUCCAUGAUUCAAUUUCUUGGCUUUCAAAUGAAGAACACGUAUCUACGGAGCCCGUGAUUGAGGUUAAGCUGCAUUGUAUUGGUAAUGAAAGACCCGUUGUUUCACCCGAAGAAUAAGAACCUUUGGAGCCCCCAAUCGAGGUUAACCAAUUGGAAUGACCCACAUCUCAACUCAAUCCCAUAGAAAAACCCAGCAAGCCCCAUGCCCCGAUCAGCUUGCCACCAAAGAAGAGGCCAAACCCAGAAACGAGACAAGCGAGAAGGCGUGCCCGCGACACGAUUACUUACCCGGCUGUUACGAAACGCUUAGUUUGCGCUGACUGCGCGGACGAGAGCGACGGAGAUCUAAAAAAGACCGCAGAUUCGCCCAAUCAAAGC